AGAAGGCUUUGCCAACCCCAAGAAGCAUUCCCUCCAGUUGAAGCAUUCAAGAAUGAAGGAAGAGUAAGGGAAGUAUUUCCCCUUAAGAACCCGAGCAACAAGAGAAUUAGGUUCCUUAAGAUACACCAUCCCUGUUUCGCAAGGAGGGCUUGAUUAAAGCUAUUAAGAUCAUAAAACCCCAAACCUCCAAAAAAUUUACUUACAUUCAUACUCUGCCAAGAGACCCAAUGUUGCUUCCUUUCAUCCUUUCUUUGGCCAAACCAGAAGUUUGCCACUAAACUAUUAAUUUCCUAACAGAGAGAGAUAGGAAGUUUAAAACAUGCCAUAGCAUAUACUGGGAUGGCAGCUACCAUCGAUUUAAUUAACACUUCCUUCCCUCCUUGAGAUAACAAAUUUUUUU
rnacentral:misc_RNA from 1 species